GAAAAAAACAACUACUAGCUAGAAUAUCUUCUUUAAUAAACUAAUGCAAAUAAAGAAUGACUCUCAUGGAUAGAAUGAAAUCAUUAAUUGGCAUGAAAUAUGGAGAUCUGGCAGAGGUACUCUCUAAAGGAGACUUAAAGGAACACUUUAAUGUCAGAAAUACAUGUUUAUCUCCCUCUCCCCUCUCUGUGGAAAUAAAAAGUUUUUAACUUAUUUUUUGUUAACC